UUCCUUAUUAUCACUGUGCAUUAUGAUGUGAAAUAGCAAUAUCGAAACAAUUGUGUUAUGUGUAGUAUACACACGAACACUGGACACAACACUAUACAAAUAUGCAGACACAAAUUAUAAAAUUGAACACGACAUUGAUACCAUUAAUAAUUUGAGAGAAAAUGAAAUAAUUGAAUCAUCUUUCGGACACCAUACAAUGUCUGUGCUACUGAGGAAUCUGAGGUGCUCAACUGAGGCCCAACUUCCCUGAGUUUGUCCACACACUCGGCAAAGUGAGCACCACUCCAUCGGGUGUUUUAAGGACAUCCUCCUCCACUUGCACAGACUUACCUAUCUCAACCCUUACUUCUUCGUCACAGACUGGUCAUCAAUAUCCAUCACCAUAUGUUGAGACUACCCAAACCGGUCGAGUUGUGGGCCAACGGCUGUAGCAGCAGGAGAGCCGACCUGAGAAGAUGAGCCUGUAGCCCUAGCCAAGAGCGCGUUGAGACCGCGAGGGUCCUUCCUCUUUGACCCAGUCGACCAAACUCCAGGCUUCAUACUUAGUUUCUUCAGCUUUUCUUGUAGUCCAGCCAUGUUAACUUCAAACGAGAAAACAACGAAAUCAGUAAAUAAAUCGUCAAAUCAAAUAUAAGCACAAGUAAAUCUUAAAGAUUACCUAACAAACCCCUCGGGUCUGAAGACUUAACAAGGUCCUUGGUGUUGAUAAAACGAUCCUCGUUAAAUGGGUUUCCCUCAAGUCGUAUAGAACGUUUCCAUGCUCAUCCACACAGGUAUAAGGCGUUUCCUCUGCCUAAACAAGCCUUCGCUUGCUGCUUUACUAUGGAUGCUAUCAAAAUACUUGCCUCUGGCUUUGAUUGUCCAUGUUUGCAUGUUCCAAUACUCUUACGGC
rnacentral:lncRNA from 1 species